UACAGAGGGGGCAAGCGUUGUUCGGAAUUACUGGGCGUAAAGGGCGCGUAGGCGGCCUGUUAAGUCGAACGUGAAAUCCCCGGGCUCAACCCGGGAACUGCGUCCGAUACUGGUUGGCUUGAAUCCGGGAGAGGGAUGCGGAAUUCCAGGUGUAGCGGUGAAAUGCGUAGAUAUCAGGAGGAACACCCAUUGCGAAGGCAGCUCGCUGGGACGUUACUGACGCUGAGACGCGAAAGCGUGGGGAGCAAACAGG
rnacentral:rRNA from 1 species